rnacentral:rRNA from 1 species
GCCUACACAUGCAAGUCGAGCGGGGAUACAAAGUGAGUAAUUGUUUUGUAUUCUAGCGGCGGACGGGUGAGUAACGCGUGAGCGACCUGUCCCAGUCUGGGGGAUAAGGAGCCGAAAGGCUCUCUAAUACCGCAUGAGACCACAGCAUCACAUGGUGCAGGGGUCAAAGGACUUCGGUCCGGACAGGGAUGGGCUCGCGUCUGAUUAGUUAGUUGGCGGGGUAACGGCCCACCAAGACAGCGAUCAGUAGCCGACCUGAGAGGGUGAUCGGCCACAUUGGAACUGAGACACGGUCCAAACUCCUACGGGAGGCAGCAGUGGGGAAUAUUGGGCAAUGGGCGAAAGCCUGACCCAGCAACGCCGCGUGAAGGAAGAAGGCUUUCGGGUCGUAAACUUCUAUCCCGGGUGAAGAUAAUGACGGUAGCCCGGAAGGAAGCCCCGGCUAACUACGUGCCAGCAGCCGCGGUAAUACGUAGGGGGCAAGCGUUGUCCGGAAUGAUUGGGCGUAAAGGGCGCGUAGGCGGCCAAGUAAGUCCGACGUGAAAGUCCUGUUUUUAAGAUGGGAAUAGCGUUGGAAACUGCAUGGCUUGAGUGCAGGAGAGGUAAGUGGAAUUCCCGGUGUAGCGCUGAAAUGCGUAGAGAUCGGGAGGAACACCAGUGUCGAAGGCGACUUACUGGACUG